GUGGUUCAUUUUGCUAAAGAUUUUUUUCUUCUUUUUUUUUGUUUUCUGUAACAAAGGAUUCUUCUCUGGGAGAGGUAUAUUGAAGAAUGAAGGCAUGUAAAAAUGAAAGGUCCCAACUUCUCAACAGCCAUGGCUACUAAAUAGAAGGAAAAAGAAAGUUUUCACCAUCAAAAUCACUGAUGCCACCAAAUGAUUCAAUGCAGGAAAUAGUUGUGUUUUUCUCCUAGUGGGAAGGAUGUUUAAAAAAAUAUGUUACUAUGUCCUUCACUGCCAGAUCCUAACUCUCUAUAAACUCUCUCUAUAACUCUGUUUCCCUAUAAUAAUGAAAACCUCUUGGGAUUAGGGACUGGGCUUGUUUUUCUAUUUGUAUAUGCUUUGUAGAAUUCCUAUCAUAUGUAUUUAAUAAAAAUAUUUUUAUUA